rnacentral:rRNA from 1 species
GUACGGGGGGGGCAAGCGUUGUUCGGAAUUACUGGGCGUAAAGGGCUCGUAGGCGGCCAACUAAGUCAGACGUGAAAUCCCUCGGCUUAACCGGGGAACUGCGUCUGAUACUGGAUGGCUUGAAUCCGGGAGAGGGAUGCGGAAUUCCAGGUGUAGCGGUGAAAUGCGUAGAUAUCUGGAGGAACACCGGUGGCGAAGGCGGCAUCCUGGACCGGCAUUGACGCUGAGACGCGAAAGCGUGGGGAGCAAACAGG